rnacentral:rRNA from 1 species
CCUACGGGAGGCUGCAGUGCGGAAUUUUGGUCAAUGGACGCAAGUCUGAACCAGCCAUGCCGCGUGCAGGAUGACGGCUCUAUGAGUUUUAAACUGCUUUUGUACGAGGGUAAACGCAGAUACGCGUAUCUGUCUCAAAGUAUCGUACGCAUAGAGAUCGGCUAACUCCGUGUCAGCAGCCGCGGUGAUACGGAGGAUACAAGCGUUAUCCGGAUUUAUUGGGUUUAAAGGGUGCGUAGGCGGUCGGAUAAGUUAGAGGUGAAAUCCCGAGGCUCAACUUGGGAAUUGCCUCUGAUACUGUUCGGCUAGAGAGUAGUUGAGGUAGGCGGAAUGUAUGGUGUAGCAGUGAAAUGCUUAGAGAUCAUACAGAACACCGAUUGCGAAGGCAGCUUACCAAGCUACUUCUGACGUUGAGGCACGAAAGCGUGGGGAGCAAACAGGAUUAGAUACCCCGGUAGUC